rnacentral:lncRNA from 12 species
GUAAAGCCCAAGGACAUGGGUGUGCAGAGCAACUUGGGAGAAGGCUGUUUGUUGUCAUUAAUUUUUUGAGUCUUCAUAGUGCUAUGAUGCAGAGAAGGUCACCUAUUUUCUAACUCUGUUUUCUUAAUGGGGAAAAAAUAUAGGACAAUAAGAGAUCUCGGUGUCCAGAUGUAUUUCCCCAUCUCCUUUAAGUUUCCAGAAACCUGUGAUGGAAGAAGACAGGCACCUUCAUUAUAACCCAGAGCGAAGACAUGACUCCAGACAAUGUCCUGUAUUCCUGCCUAUACUGAAUUCAUUCAUGGAUGUGGACUUCCUUAAAGAAAGAGGCGGCUGGAACCCACCUGGGGGCUUUGACACAUCAAAUGUCUUCUUACUUAAUAUCCAAGCUGCUUCAGAGUUAGGGGAGUACUCAGUAGUUUUGUGGACUUCAUCAACCACAAUGAUAAGCUGUUUUAUCUUGCUUACAGGAGGCAGAAAUAUUCCAAAUACUCACCUUCACACUCGGGCUUUGCAAGUCUCUGUAAAUUAUUUUUAG